AUGACGAAAAAGUCCCCCGCGUCGCUCCGCAGGGGCGGCUCGGGCGGAGACCAAGCCGCGACUUCCGCCGCCCCCUCCCCUCCUCCCCUCCUCCGCCGCCGCCGGCACGCGUCGCCGGGCAAAGCCCCGGUGGUGGCUGGCGGCGGCGGGCCCUCGCUCCUGCACGCGGCGGUUGGUCUUGUGCGUGACCUCGGUGGUGCGUGCGCAGCGGCGUCGCGCGCGGCGCCGUGCUCCGGCGGCGCUCCGGCUUGUGCAGCGGCCUCUUGGUCGUCCGGUGCUCGGCGGUUGGUCGUCACGUGGCCCUGUGCCCCCCUGGUUGCUGGGUGGGCCGGCGUCGGGCGCCCCUGCGCGGCGCGGGUGGUGGAUCUGGGCGGUUGCGCUCCCCGGGCUCGUCCCGGUGUGUGCCGUCGUCUUGGCGAGGCCGCGGCGUGCGGGGCCGGAUCCGGCAGGCCCCUGCCCGGAUCUGUUGGGUGGCGCUACUCCCCGGUGUGGUGCUGGCCGGCGUUGUUCCGUGCUCCACCGUUGGCUGCCCCUUCCUCCGCCUAUCGUCCUAUUGCGGUUGCACAGGUCGGCAAAAUCCUUGGCCUGCAGAUGGCAGCCAUGGAUGCGGCUUGCUCUCCACGCGGGGGGCAGCCGUGGGCGGGUUGGAAGGGCCCCCUUGUCCCGCUGUCAGCGUUGAUGGGUGCUGUUCGUCGAGUUGGCGAGCUCCAUGGCUUUGCUGUGGCGGCCAUGGAUGCGGUUCCUCUCACCCGGGAGGGCCGUGGCUUGGGGGUUGGCCGUCUUCCCUUGUCUUCGUCACUUCUUCAGUGUUCUUAUUGUUCGUGCUCAGGUGCCCCCUUCAUGUGUCUCUGCUGUGGCGAUGCCUAUGUGACUACACGGGUGGCACACAGGUGUUGUGGCGUCGUCUCGGCUCACGUGAUGCCCUUCGGCCUUGUCGGUGGCACACAGGUGUCGUGGUGUCGUCUCGGCUCGUGUGUCCUUUCGAUUGCAUCCCACGGCACAGGUGGUGUCGCGGCGUUGUGUACUCUCGGAUGCGCGGCGCCUUUUGAUUGCAUCGAUGGUACAGUGCCCUGGCUUAGUCUCGGCUGUCCAAUGGCGUUCGACUACUUUGGCGGUGCUCUUGUUGUGUUGUCUGUUCUUUUCCUCUUUGUUUCUCCCCCGUUUUGUGUGUUAACCUCCAAGAUCAUGGUUGUUGAUACUCUCGUUAUCUGGGGCAUGAUACAGCCAAAGGCGUCGCCGUCGGCACUAGAUUUGGCGGGAGGGAACUUUCCGCGCGGCCGUUUCCGCUCCUCCCACCCUCCUUGGCCGCCACUGCCUCGCCGUCACGCUCUUCGGUCCAUUUCCCCCGCCAUUCUUCGCCGUCAUGGAAGCCUCCUAGCCGCCCCCGUCACCGUGGAGGUCGCGCACGCGCAAUCCCCUCUGGCGGAUCUCAUCGCCGGCCAUGUCAUCCCCGCCGUCGCCCAAGGCACCAACGCGCCAGCCCGCAAGCGGCAGGGCAACGUUGUCGUGCAGGGCGACAAUCUUGCUGGCCCCGCCGGAAAGGCACGCGCACCGGCCGCCGCCGCCGCUGCGCGAGCUGCCCGGCCGCUGGCGGAGAAGGUGAGCAAGAUUUCGGGCGUGAAGCGGAAGAAGGUCCCUACGAAAAGGUCGGCGCCUUCGUCCACUCCACCCGUCCCGACGAGAUGUUCCCUGACGAUGUCGUUCAACGACGCUACUUCCGCCACAAGCGAGGUGUUCGAUGAAAUGGCCGGAAGCGACGGUUUGGACAAUGCCACUGCCGAAUUCGUGAACUUGUUGGACACCAACGCCAUCGACAUCGAUCAAGAUCUGUUCGCUGAUUAUGAUUACAAUGAAAUGGAGGAUGGUGUGGAUGAUCACUAUGGUGAAGAUGAAGUGGAGGAGGUAGAUGAGGGGGUAUAUGAGCAAGCGCAUGAAAAAAAGUGUGAGUUCAAAGAACUACAUGAUCUUGGAAGAUCAAAUCUUGAUCAGGGCUUGGAGUGCGGUCAUUGGGACGUGAUCAAGCCGAUUUGGAGCCGUUGGGCAGCUUGCUUGGAACAAGUUCACAAUGCUCCUCCAAGUGGAACCGUGGGAUCCAACUAUGGCAAAAUUGCCCAACAAAGAUACAAAGACAUGGAAGCUUCCGAAGGCAAAAAAAUUAAACUUGAGUAUUGUUGGGAUAUGCUCAAAGAGUGCGAGAAGUGGAAGUUGAUUGACAAAGAAUCCCCACCAAAGAGAGGUUCACUUACGAACAUGGAUGAAGAUGAAGAUGAUGAUGGCCCAAGAAACUUGAACAAGCCCGAUGAUGACAAGAAGAGAAAGGCGAAGAUCAAGAGGGAACACGAAGCAUCGAGCUUGCGGGACAAGAUAGAUGCCAUGGACGAGGGGUUGCACAAGGCGGCCAUUAAGGAGAGAAGAGCACGUGCCAUGUCCAAGAUUCUUGCCGAAGAGAAUAUGAUCAUGACAUUGAACCGCAAAGACAUGGACGACGUCACCAAAGAAUGGCAUGCUAUGGCAAGGAGAGAUAUCAUGAAGAGGAGGAUGCUUGCUUCGACCGGUGCGUGUUACAGUGUCGACGAUGGUUUCUCAUCGGGAUUUGGAUUCAAAGCCAUCGAUGCAUUCGCGCCCACCGGUGAUUUCGGUGCCGGAGUUGGAACAAGUGCCAACGGCGGAUUCGGGGGAGGCGAUGACCUUGAUGGAGGUGGUGCGGAGUGA
rnacentral:rRNA from 1 species